rnacentral:tRNA from 1 species
CGCGGAGUGGAGAAGUUUGAUAUCUCGCAGGGCUCAUAACCCUGAGGUCGUUGGUUCAAGUCCAACCUCCGCCACCU